AUCGAUUGGCUACGAGGGCUACCCGGCUAUUACAAGUGUGUCCUUUCUUCAAGAAACUGAAACAUGGACUUUCCCGUUUUACAAUUCCUGUAUGGCCUUCAGAUUGCUUUCUGAUAAGGAAAAGGCGACACGAGCACACUAGAAGUCACUAGAAACAACAGAAAUAAGCGUCAGAUGAUAACGAAGAAGUGUGGCGGUAAGGUGGGAACACGCUCCCGAAAGCAAGGACCGUCUUGCGUAGGAAGAGGGAGGGACACGUCUUGAGCAGGGAGCGUUUUUUUUAGACCGAACUUCAGAGAUGUGAACCCUACAGUUGGAUGGCAUCAUUGCUGGUUGCCACCUUAUUGGCUUCUUUUCUGAUGCCUCAGGACGGACUGGCCAACGGUAAUGUCACGGAAUUGAAUGGUACCAUGGAUAUGACACCCACUGGUCACGUCCUACCACACAGAGCAUCUCCUGGUCUUAUCAAGAAUAAAGCUCUCAGCAUGCUCUUUAACAUGUUUUUGAAGCUCCACGAAACUUCAGGAGCGAUGAACCUCCUUCCAAGCUAUGCAAGUUCACAGAACACUGCAACAUCUCCAGUAAAAGAAACAACGCCGCCCAACGAGGAGCCGAGGCAGGUCAGACCUCCGCCAUGUAACCCUGGAACACGAGUUCGGAGCUCCCCUGACGACCAAGUUGCCAGAGCCAGAUGCGAAUGACUUGACAGUCAUCCUCUCGGUUGGGCUAACGACGGUCAUCAUUCUUAUGUGCUUCGCCUUCUUACUCAUCAUGCAAUGCUGCGCGGAUAUUAUUUGCAUCGACCUAUUAUACUACUUUUCAAAGUGCACUGGCUGGAAGCAACGUCAGCGCCAUCCUCGUCAUUCGCGUCACCAUCGUCGACAUCACCGGCCGUUCACAGAUGGCGUGGUAGUGCCGUACUCCCCCUCUACAGAAAGACUGUUGCGUGGCAAGUCAAAUUCCAGGAGCCCGGAACCGCGUCAGGAAGCAGUACGUAUGGAACAGCCCGAUGUCAGGGGCACGUGAAGCAAAUUCAAACGGCACAUCUUCAAAUGUAACAAUGUGAACUAUGCUGAUUUUUAGAGGUGUUUACCCGUGAAGAAGUGUGGUUGUGAUUGUCCCCGUGCUAGUGUGCAGUCACAGAUCUGCAUUGCACUAUUUACAUGGAAGAUUUAAUAUACAUGCAUACAAUUUAUAUCUAACAAUGUAAA